CCAGACUCCUACGGGAGGCAGCAGUGGGGAAUAUUGCACAAUGGGCGCAAGCCUGAUGCAGCGACGCCGCGUGGGGGAUGACGGCCUUCGGGUUGUAAACUCCUUUCGUUAGGGACGAAGCCACACCUUUUUUUGGGUGUGGUGACGGUACCUUUGUUAAGAAGCACCGGCUAACUACGUGCCAGCAGCCGCGGUAAUACGUAGGGUGCGAGCGUUGUCCGGAAUUACUGGGCGUAAAGAGCUCGUAGGUGGUUUGUUGCGUCGUCUGUGAAAUUCCGGGGCUUAACUUCGGGGUGGCAGGCGAUACGGGCAUAACUAGAGUGCUGUAGGGGAGACUGGAAUUCCUGGUGUAGCGGUGGAAUGCGCAGAUAUCAGGAGGAACACCGAUGGCGAAGGCAGGUCUCUGGGCAGUAACUGACGCUGAGGAGCGAAAGCAUGGGGAGCGAACAGGAUUAGAUACCCUGGUAGUCCAUGCUGUAAACGGUGGGCGUUAGGUGUGGGGACCGGUUUGGUUUCUGUGCCGUAGCUAACGCAUUAAGCGCCCCCGCCUGGGGAGUACGGCCGCAAGGCUAAAACUCAAAGGAAUUGACGGGGGCCCGCACAAGA
rnacentral:rRNA from 1 species